UAUACGUGGAGAAAUCUCAGGGUGCUAGGGAAUGUUACGACUUAUUCCCCAUUUAUUCUUCUUUUUUUUUCUUUCUAUACGUGUACAUGUCUAGUUACAUUUGGUGUUCUAGUUUACAGAUUACCAUAUGAAGCUAAUUUUGGGGACUACAGAGUAACUGUGCAGUGGAUGAUUAAAUGUGUGUAAGGAAAAAACAAGACGGCUGGAUGGAACUCCUAGGAGGGAGACGAGCCCUUGAAGAGCCAGGAGGCUGUGGGAUGGACCCUGCAUUCAGAUUAACUGUGGCACAACAUGGAAGAGAUCAAAAUGUCCAGUCAAAAUGCCGUCCAGGGUUGGGCAUUCUGUUCUUUUGGCAAGGAUGCCUAAGGAAUGGCAGAGCUGAUGUUUACUUCUAUAGUAUUACCAGGGAAAGAAGAGGUGGAGUCCAAAGCUGACCUCUAAGGCCACUGAUUUCUGUCUCUCUACCUAACGUUGUGUCACAGGUGGAACUGAAUCUUUUCUCAGCCAUUACAUACAUCUAUUCUGACAUUGUUCAAUAAGAGAAAACUAUUCCCAGUUUCUCUCCCCACCCCCAACACCCUGUGACUCCAGUGCUGGGCAUUGAACUCGAAACCUUGACCACCCUAGGCAAGCACCUUACCACUGAGCCACACCUCCUGCCCUGCGGCCAGCACUGUAGCAUGUGAUGGAGACUAAUUACCUUGUGAUUGCUAUCUAUAAUCUUUAUAUAUCUAUGCAAUGGAAUGCUACUCAGCUAUUGACAAGAAGGGAAACAAGUCAUUUGAAAAGCCUGGAUGAACCUGGAGGAUGUCAUGUUGAGUUAACUAAGCCUGACACAGCAGGACGGGUACUACAGAUCUCACUCAUAUGUGGAAUAUGAGCUGAACUCAUGAAAAUAGAGAAAGAAAGGAGUAGAAUCAGUGGGUCACCUGGAAUCGAGCAUCUAAAUUAUGCCUGAGUAAUCCCAGUCAGGUUUCCAUUUUCGCUGAUGUUACAAGUGGGAGCAGCAGGGAGAGAGGACGAGAGAGGAGAAUUGCGUGUGGAUGCAAUUUUGUCUUCCUACUUCUGCAAGUGGGCAAUCUCUUUGGAAAAGUAUUUUAAUUCUCUGAGAGGAAGAUGUUUCUAUUUUCACCACUGCUAGUAAAAUAUCAGACAAGGAAAUGGAUUUUUAAACAUUCAACCAAAUACAAUCUAUUUAAGUCAGCUAUAACUUCC